AUGUAACAUUCUUUAAAGGUUAUUAAAGUUUUAACCGCUCCUUUUUAACAGGUGUACGUGAGCAAUAGUGCAAAAUACAGUGAACUUGGUCAUCCUUUUGGUUACUUGAAAGCCAGUACAGCACUGAACUGUGUCAACUUAUUUGUGAUGCCUUACAAUUAUCCAGUCCUUCUUCCCCUCUUAGAUGACUUGUUUAAAGUGCAUAAAGCAAAACCAACAUUGAAGUGGAGACAGUCAUUUGAAAGUUAUUUGAAGACAAUGCCUCCCUACUAUCUUGGGCCCUUGAAGAAAGCUGUUAGGAUGAUGGGAGCACCUAACCUAAUAGCAGACAGUAUGGAAUAUGGACUUAGUUACAGUGUCAUUUCAUACCUCAAAAAACUGAGUCAAC
rnacentral:lncRNA from 1 species